rnacentral:lncRNA from 1 species
CCCCUUGCCAGGGUCUCGAUUUCCCGCCAACCAACAAAGGUUCAUUUGCCUCUUAUGGCCUGCGCGGGAGGGUUGCCAUCACCCGUUCCUAGGGGUGGGGCUAACGGGCCUACCGUUUCAGACAUGCUCAGUGCAGCCUGUCCUUAGGCGUAGGGUAAUGGUGGGCGACCUGGCAGUUCUUGGGCUCCUUGGGAUCCCCUCGAGAAGCCCCCUUGUUAGUGUAUGAAACCGUCAGUUCACUGCCAGUAAUGAAAACAUCGUGUCCUUAGUCACCUGCCAUUAGCCUUUUCGAAACCAUUUUUUCUGUUCCCUAAGCUGUCACAAAUCCUCCUCUGCAUCCCAGGAGUGCCGCUUGGUCCUCGGGCUCGCAGCGUGGCCCACACCUGGGUCGGGCCUCUCACGGGGACGCUCCCGCCACUGUGAUAAAGAGGAGAAAACGUCACAGGGGAAGGGCCUGACCCUGCUGCAUCCAGUAAGGAAACAGCCACAGGGAAGGGACCCCGUAAGCCACUUUGGGAGCCACAUCCACCACUUCUCUGACCCCACGCAGGCUGCUUCCCAGGCCUCAUGGUACUAGUGUGGACCUCCUGGCUGUGAUUAAUGCAGUUUUUUAGAUUAAGUACUGCACGACUACUCGCUUCUGAAACUGUCAUAAGAAACUGCCUCAGCUCCCUGCAGGGUGGACACACAAGAGCAGAAUCUCCGUGGGACAUCUCUUUGGAGCAUCAAUAUUACUACAGUAUUUGGAAGACACAAAUUUAAAUAAUUUCUAAGGUAAAGAAUGGAACAUUUAAGACAAGGCUGGAAAGUCAUCUGCCUUUAAUAACUCAUCUGUGCCUCACAUGUCAGACUUUCUCCAAGAAAAAAACUAAGGAGAACUUAUUUCCAUUCUUAUAA